rnacentral:ncRNA from 1 species
GCUACCCUGGAUUCGCUUGACCCCGGACGAGACGCGCCGUACCCGGUCAAGACAAGACGACGCAUC